GCCAAUAUCCCAGGGUCUUGGCUCACUCUGCCCUUUAUGUUCACAUCUGGAGGCCACACCCUACCUUCUGAGUCACCAGGCCAUCAAGUCCAGACAAAGGGAUCAAAAGAGUGAGAGAGUGCCAGCCACCUCCCACCCAAGCCACUAGCAAGACUUCACAAUGUCAGAGCAACCAGUGGACCUGAAGGAUUUAAUGCCCGCAAAGAGGAAAUACACGUGGAAGACUGCUGAAGAUAGGCGCAUGUCUGACCUCACCUGUGUGCUGGAGUGGCUAGAGAGGAGGCAGGGGAAGAAGAAACAAGCUUCCGAGAAGCAAAAGCCCAAAGUGGUGACAGUCCUUAAAAGAAAUAAGAAGAAAGAGAAGAAAGGCAAAGGCCUCAUGAUGGCACGGGGAGGGAACCGCAGGGCCACGGAGACUUCCCAGCAGGCCAUAGGAAAGAGAUUCAGGAAGGACGCUGCCUCCUACCAAAGGCUCUAUGGAGUGGAGCAAAAGGGGAAACGCCUCAGCAUGGUCCCUGGCAGCUACAUCAAGGAUGGCCCCAAGAAAUCUGAUACAGACAUCAAGGAUGCAAUCGACCCAGAGUCCACUCAGCGGCCAAACCCAUUCCGUCGACAAAGCAUUGUCUUAGAUCCCAUGUUACAGGAGGGUACCUUUAGCAGCCGGAGGACAACCUUCCUAAGAGACUGGUCCAACAAGAUGCCUGACACGGCUUACGAACGCAAGCUAAAGAGCCUCAUGGAGAAAAGCACCGAACCUAAGAUGGAAACCAUGAGGAUGUUGAAGCCAGAGGAGGUGCUGAGCUGCCGAUAUCUGAGGUUAUCCAAGGAGAACAUUCGGACCUUGCUCAAGUUGUGCAAGGAUGCAGGAAUGAAUGUGGAUAUCCACCCCCACAUGGUCGAAGGGGACAUAGACGCUAAAAAGGUGUUCACUGGAAUACCCAGCGUGGCCCUCUAAAUAGCUCCUCUCACCGCCACCUUCAGGCUCCUUCUGUCAUGGGACCCUUCACCUCCAGAUGCCAUCCUCUGGCACACUACAAGUGGUCCUUCCAACUUAGUGCAUCCCUUUAGAAAAAUGGGGUUAACGACAGUAUGUGCUGAGCAGGGGUGCUGUCAAGAGCACAUGAGAGCUUGCAUGUGAAGCAGAGAGCACAGUCAGUGACAGCUGAGAACUCCAUACAAAUGUGGGCUGUUUCGUAGUUCACUGAGGUAGACGAGGAGCUGAUUUUCCAGCCGCUGCUUUUCUGAGAGGGAUCCCCAAAACUAGGCACGUCAAUCCCCAUGGAAAAGCUGCUAAUACCAAAUCCACAUCUGCUCACGGCAAACCUAAACAUCUAAUGAUCUCUGGGCCUCCAAGAGCUAGGACACACCCCAGAGAGACUCAG